rnacentral:lncRNA from 1 species
GAGGCACUAAGAUGUACGGAGAUUUGAGAAAAAAAUUCUAGUAGUUUGAUAUGAAAAAUGAUAUUGUACAGUAUGUGACUUAGUAUUUGGUGUGUUCGAAUAAAAGCCAAGCAUUAGAGACCUAUAAGAUCGCUGCAGUCCUCUUAUCCUUUAGUGGAAAUGGGGGUGUAUUAUCAUGGAUUUUGUGACUAGUUUGCCUAAGACAUCUAGAGGUAAUGAUGUGGUGUGGG